AGAGUUUGAUCAUGGCUCAGGAUGAACGCUGGCGGUAUGCUUAACACAUGCAAGUCGAACGAAAGUCUUCGGAUUUUAGUGGCGGACGGGUGAGUAACGCGUGAGGAUCUGCCUAUAGGUUGGGGACAACAGAUGGAAACGUCUGCUAAUACCCAAUGUGCCGAGAGGUGAAAGCUUUAGUGCCUGUAGAUGAGCUCGCGUCCGAUUAGCUAGUUGGUAGGGUAAAGGCUUACCAAGGCGACGAUCGGUAGCUGGUCUGAGAGGAUGAUCAGCCACACUGGGACUGAGACACGGCCCAGACUCCUACGGGAGGCAGCAGUGGGGAAUUUUCCGCAAUGGGCGAAAGCCUGACGGAGCAAUACCGCGUGCGGGACGAAGGCUUUUGGGUCGUAAACCGCUUUUGUUAGGGAAGAACACAAUGACGGUACCUAACGAAUCAGCAUCGGCUAACUCCGUGCCAGCAGCCGCGGUAAUACGGGGGAUGCAAGCGUUAUCCGGAAUUAUUGGGCGUAAAGCGUCCGCAGGUGGUUUAUCAAGUCUGCUGUCAAAUCGUAGGGCUUAACCCUAUAAAGGCAGUGGAAACUGAGAGACUAGAGUACGGUAGGGGUAGCGGGAAUUCCCAGUGUAGCGGUGAAAUGCGUAGAUAUUGGGAAGAACACCAGCGGCGAAGGCGCGCUACUGGGCCGAAACUGACACUCAUGGACGAAAGCUAGGGGAGCGAACAGGAUUAGAUACCCUGGUAGUCCAUGCCGUAAACGUUGGGAACUAGAUGUAGGGGCCAUUCCACGGUUUCUGUGUCGCAGCUAACCGCAUUAAGUUCCCCGCCUGG
rnacentral:rRNA from 1 species